UAGGAAGUCAGUGAUAAAAAUAUUUAAGCAGCUUUGUCUGCCUUAGACCUUCCAACUAAAAGUACAGCAAGUGGAAUGGAAUGCUAAUAUGAGGAUCCAAAUUUUCAGGGAAGGAGGAGAGCCUUUAUAUAACCAAAGAUAUUUUUGGACCAUGAAUUCAGAAAUUCUCGGAGCCACCCAUCAGUGCCUGAGCUUCAGUGAGUCCAUAUCCCAUGUCACCCACGGCAAAGGAGACUCUAAGACUUCUGAAGAGUUUCUUGCUUCUUUCCUGUGGGGCAGUGACUCCACUUCCCAGCAGUAAUGGAAUAUCCUGAAUUAGCUACAUUAAUGUUAGAACCAUUUGGACCUCACCCAGGACUUCAACUACAUUAUGGUAAGACAAAGCCAGAGCUAGAAGGCAAUAAUUUCUUCCUUCUGGCUCAACAGUACCUAUCUUGUAGAGUUAUUUGAGGAAUGGUUGUAUUCUUGAUGUUAUAAUUAUUAACUCUACCCAUAUACCGACUCAGCUUUCUGUUCUGCCUACCCAAGAUAGAAUCUUUGUGUGGUUGUUAAUUUUCAUAAAAAGAUGGUCAUCUGGCCUUUACUCAGUUGACUUUUAAAGUAUUUGUGGCUGGCCUUUUUGGAAAACAUAGAAUACUUGCAAUGUUCCUCUCCAAAACACAACUUCAAAGUAUCUACUGCCAAAUCUAUGCAAGAAGUAUAUUCAGAGAGAAUUAUCUAAGGGAAGCGUAGGCCACAUACUCUCCUAGAUCAGCAUUUCCAAAAUGUGUUCCCCAGGGAAAGCUGGUUUUGCAAUAUGUGACUUCCCAGUAUCCUGUGAAAAGUGGUUUCAAGAUGAAAUAUACCAGUUUAAACACAGUUAAACUACUUUGUGCAAGAUUUUCCUGAGCCUUUCAUAAGUCUGAAUUUCCAAGGGAAAGGGAAUGUAGCAUUUCCAAAAAUGACUUAACCACAGAAAUGUUUUCUCCCUUGAAUAUCUGUCUAAUGGGCCUAGUGUUCUGUGAAGCAGACUUAUAGAAAUUGCCUGUGGAUAAUCUCCAUGCUAUUUCUAGGUUAAGACAGAGAAUCUGAAGACUGCAUACCUGACCUCUCGUUUUUACCUACCCACCCACCCACACCCAAAUAUUUCUACUGGACUAUAAUUUAUUGUGACGCCCCCAUUUCCACUGCAGGAUGUUAUAAGAAAUGAGACUCACUACUGAAUUCACAGCAGGCAUGGUUGAAGGCACCAUUCACUAUAGCUUGCAGUGUUCCCUUUAUGAGAUUUGUAUGAGAAAUUCCUCUCAUAGGUCAAGUUCUUGGGAGAAAAUUCUCCCAAAGAGCAAGUCCCAGGAAAAUCUUGGCUGGUAAGUUCUUACCUUAAGAACAGGGAAAAUCUUCCCUUGGUUGUGUUUUCCUCUUUGCUUAGAUCAGGGAAGCUCAAGCCAAAUUUGCAGCCCAUUUUUGAUUAUUAUUCAAGGCCUUACAUUUUAUAUUUCCAUGUGAUAUAUCUUCCUAGUUUUACCUCAUUAAUUGGCCAACAUUUCUCUUUUCAUCAGAUUUAUCUUUUUUGCAAUCUUUAGUUAUAUAUUCUUCUAUAAAUGACCUCAAAUCCUCUAGGUAAUGAGGUGGAAUGUAAAUUAAUAUAUAGUAUCUUUCCCCAUACCAAAAUCAUAUUUCAAUUGCUCCAAGGGAGACGGCAAAUAUUUUUUAUGUGGUCUUUAGAUCAUUCAAAUAUCUGGUGUGCAAUGCAUGUUCAGGUUCUCCUAUCUUCUUAAGUCUUCUUGAUUGCCUCACUACCCUGUUGUCAUAGCUAAUGAAACACAGAGAAAGUGUGUACUCUUGUUAAUGACAUGUCUCCACUAAAUCUCCAUCUAUUUAUGUCCCUUUAUAUAAGAGUUUUGCCAAAACCCACUUAUCAUUUGUUCUCUUUUUAAAUCUGUUUUAGGUCAUCAAUUGAUACUAUUAAGACCACUAGCAGUGACUGUUUUUUCUAACUUGUGUUUCUGUGUUCAUGAUUAAUUUGCUAAUGAAAUGAGGAAUUUUGCAUUGUAAGAGUUGACCAUUGUCCAAAAUUUGCUAAGAAUUAAAGCACUGAUGAUUGGGGAAGGUGGGAGAGGGAAAGACAUUUUAAAAAAUGAAUUUUUAUUUACUUAAGCUAAAGUUACAGAACCCAAAUUUGGCAACUGUCUGCAUCUGAACAACAGAAGUUUCAACAUUCUGCCAACAGAGUAACUCCUGGACGAUUGGCACAGAAGAAGGCACAAGGCAAAUACCCAUCUCUGUACACCCUGUGCUACUGUGUCAUGUGCUGCUCCAGGCAACUCCAAUGGAUUGGCCACCCUGGCCAAUGUGUGAGUUAUAAAGCAAUGAUGUGUAGCUAUUGAACCUACAAUUUGGUUAAAGUUAAACUCUCAAGUUUUAUAUGUUUACAAGCAUAUUGUCCUUUUGUUAAUUUCCUCCCAGUACUCAUUUCUUGACUUCUUUUAGUUUUACUAUGUAGUAAUUUUUAAAAUGUUAGUCAAAGUUAGUUAAUUUAAUUCACUUAGCAGAUUUUCCUGUAAUUUUGGUUAAACAGUAUCCUUUCUGUACAGGCCCUCCAAACACCAGCACUGAGUAGAAAGAGGCUCUGAUUCAUGAAAUGUGAAUUUAUGACAGUUGCCACUCUUAAAAAAAAAAACAAACAGACAGAACUUGAGCAAUACAUGACUGAUGCAUUCUCAGCCUGCUUCCUGUGUUCCAUCUGUCUUUCUGCCAGUGCAUUCACCCUCCAGGUUUGAAAGUAGUCGGGCAAGAAAGUACUAAACAUAGAGAAAGGGCAAUUCCAAAAGAACAAAUGAUUGCUUAAUUUAGGCUGACAUUACCCAGUUGCUGGGGGUAUGGGCCAUGGGGAUGGGCCAUGUUCACCACUUAGGUUGGGCAAAUUCCCAAGAUGCCUUUUGACAUAGUAAUGAGGGGGAAUACAUCACUCAUGCCCACUGGCAUUCUCUGGGGAAAUUUUUAAAAGGCAGUAUAUCCCACUCCAGUUGAGUUCAAAUCAGGUGCCAUAUCUACUUAAAAAUAGCCUCAGAUAGAAUGGCAACUCAAAUGACAGUUUAACUUUCACUACUUUCUCGGUAGUGAAACUUUCUACAUUCCACAUUUUCUAUCAAGAAAAGAAAGAGGUUGUAUUGUGAGGUAAGAGGCACACACACGGACUUCCUUCAGUAGCUGCAAUCCUUGCUAUAGGUCAGGCAUCAAGACAAUUCCACUUUACAGGCCUGGAUUUUGGAGAAAGAAAGGUGUUUACAAGUUUCUGUAUAAUUAUAGUUAUACUGACAUUUAAAUAGUUCAACAGACUGGACUUCCUAACAUUCCUAUUACAUCGAUAUUAAUGAAAGCAUGACACAGGUUUCAAGGAAGCAUGUCCAGGUAUAUGCUGAAUGACAUAAUAAGAAAAAUGUAAAUAUGCAUUGCUUUUGUCUUAAGGUAAUACUUGUGAUUGCAGAAUCCUAGAAUGUAGAGAUGAUGGGGACUUCAGAGAUUCUUUAAUCCAAACCCUUUAUUUAAUGGAAGAAGGGAAAAAGGUCUAGAGAAGCUGUGACUUCUCUCAGAUCACACAAUAAAUUAGUUGCUGAGGUAGAACAAAAACCUAACUUCCACUUUACCAUUUCCUUGAGAAACUGUAGAACAAUUGUAAGCCACUGAUAUAUUCCACAUAAUAAAGCCGCUCUGUUGCCUUUUUAGGUUCUAGUAUGUUACGUUUAUGUUCCCCUGCUUUCUACAAUCCUGUUCAAAGAGUUGCUGACUUAACCACAGAGAGGAUUCCAGAACCUGAGACACAGAAUAAACUUGAGCAAUCAUAGUCCAUCCACUUCAUUGUCUCAUCAAAAACCAAAGGUCCAGUGAAGCUCUGGAACUCAACGCUGUAAAGGAGCGAAGGAGCUUCUAUACAGAGCCUGGAUGCCUGUCUCCUUAUCCUACUUCAGUGGACUUGACUGCAAUCCGGAUUAUGCUGUUUUCUAAGCA
ensembl:lncRNA STARD13-AS STARD13 antisense RNA